GCACAGUUGUGGAGCCACAUGGUUAGCAGUGAGUUCUCUACCCUGUAGGCUUUACACACAGCACCAGGCUGUAAGCUAAGCGUAACCUCGCACAUGCGCAACCACGUUUAUCAGCGAUUCAAUGCAAUUCGUUUAGAUUCACAGCGAUUCGUGGUUAGAGUUACUCGUUACGAAGACCAUCUCAUGUCCACAAGGCUAACAGUGUCAAGAUUUAUUAAACGUGCUCGAAAUCACGCAUACAGGAUGUAUGGUUGCGGCUACACCGAUGAAAGGCAAGAAAGUCUUCCACCGGCUCCGUUGGGUUCGCGCCUUUUCGAGAAGACUGUCGCUUAUUCGCCGACAUCGGGAACUCUGGCACCCAUGGAGGAUUAAGAGACCCUUUUUGUCGCCGUACAACCGAAAUGCCUCCUGGGACAUCAAGAGAGUUACAGUCACACAAGCGACAGUGUGACGGGACCAAGGUGGACAACAUAGUUCCAAGGUUGACCCUGCGGGGCCGGACGCUUUUGAACGCUGCAGCAAACUGCACAACUUUAAUUCGGCUGAUGAAGUGCUUGGAUGGAGGGGCCUGCCUUUCACCACAUAUUGUUAUCUUGUACUUUUUGACGUCAGUUUUGAGUGUGCUGAUUGGUGGCAGAAAGGUAACGUCUCCUUACAAAAA